rnacentral:lncRNA from 1 species
GGCAACGGAGCACAUUUCGAAAGUUCGCGUCGGUUAAUUUCGAGUCUUCGUGUUGGACCUGUGUGUGUCGUAGCUGUUCCCAAUGAAGUUCAAGUGGUGAUGCGUCGCUUUCAUUACGACAGCUCGCGUCAAGGGAAAGGUUAUUUUGCACGCUGAAGAUACCUGCAUCAAGUAAUUUUUGUGUUCCCGAGUCCCCCCACUAGCGCAGAACAAAAAGAGCGAUUCAACUGCUUGUGGAGCACAAGUUUGCGGGUCGAAAACGGAGGUUCUUGGAAUGGUCUGCCACAGCCUGUUGUUCCCUGUGACCACACGUACUGUGCACCAGCGACACCGCAGUUCUCUGGAGGUGCGACGCAUAGCCACGGCCACGAUGAACAUGAUUAGUGUGUACCAGAACC